UAUGGCAAACGCCGGUUCCCGUACAAUCACCGAAGUUAAGUAAAGUCGAGCCUGGUCAGCACCUAGAUGAGAGACCGCUUGGAAAUACCAGGUGCUGUAAG